GUGGGUUUUCUUGGAAGAGAUAAGACUGAUUCUACUUUAUGGAGGCACGUUUUCCUUAUAAGUGCUUCUAUUUAUACAGCUUGUGGAAUAUUUUACUGCGUUUUUGCUUCAACUGAAAAACAGCCGUGGAACGAAGUGGAUCCAGAAGAACUUGGAACAGCGGCCAAAAUGAAGCAGUUUUGCCAGAAGUGG